rnacentral:rRNA from 1 species
GAUGAACGCUGGCGGCGUGCCUAAUACAUGCAAGUCGAGCGAACGGACGAGAAGCUUGCUUCUCUGAUGUUAGCGGCGGACGGGUGAGUAACACGUGGAUAACCUACCUAUAAGACUGGGAUAACUUCGGGAAACCGGAACUAAUACCGGAUGAUAUUUUGAACCGCAUGGUUCAAAAGUGAAAGACGGUCUUGCUGUCACUUAUAGAUGGAUCCGCGCUGCAUUAGCUAGUUGGUAAGGUAACGGCUUACCAAGGCAACGAUGCAUAGCCGACCUGAGAGGGUGAACGGCCACACUGGAACUGAGACACGGACCAGACUCCUACGGGAGGCAGCAGUAGGGAAUCUUCCGGAAUGGGCGAAAGCCUGACGGAGCAACGCCGCGUGAGUGAUGAAGGUCUUCGGAUCGUAAAACUCUGUUGUUAGGGAAGAACAUAUGUGUAAGUAACUGUGCACAUCUUGACGGUACCUAAUCAGAAAGCCACGGCUAACUACGGG